AUGAGCCUUCUCCCUGCCUUUGAGCUGCUGCUGCUUCUGCUUGCCUUGCCACGCCUUUCUUGUGCCUCAUAUUCUAUGUAUUUAUCACUGGACCGGGAAGCAGAGGCACUUCUCCAAUGGAAAUCUAGCCUAACCAUUUCGUCCCAUGAUAUAGACUCGUGGACAAAGGGAACCAGCCCCUGUAACUGGACCGGUAUUGCCUGCAGCAACGCCGUGCCUCGUGGCCGUGGCCAGGAUGCUGCUGCCUUGGUUGUGUCCAACAUUUCGCUUGGGUGGAACAUCGUCAGUGUUGGCAGGUUGGAUAGGCUGCACUUUGCAUACAUGCCUGAUCUUGUCUAUCUAGACCUCGCUUGCAACCAUCUCUCGGGCCCAAUCCCAUCGAGCAUUCGCGCUCUGAGAAGAAAGAAUGUAAAAAACAAAGCAAAAAGCAAGUCAGGAGAUAUGCUUUCCAUAUGGAAUUUUGAUGGGAACAUCGCAUUCGAAGACAUACUUAGUGCAACAGAAAAUUUUGAUGAGAAAUAUUGCAUUGGUAUUGGAGGAUAUGGGUCCGUCUUUAGAGUUCAGCUUGAAGGGGGGCUUAUCUUUGCCGUCAAGCUCCUCCAUUCAAUGGAAGAACAGAACGAUGAGGGGACAUUUCAUGCCGAGAUUGAAGUACUGACGAAAAUCAGGCACCGAUGCAUCGUCAAGUUGUACGGCUUCUGUUCACACUCCCAAUGCAAAUUCCUUGUGUACGACCUUAUCGAGAGGGGAAGCUUAUUAUCCAUUUUGGACGAACAAGAACUAGCAAAGGAGUUGGAUUGGGCCAACAGAAUUUCUAUUGUGACAGACGUAGCUCAAGCUCUCUCCUAUUUGCACCAUGACUGCGAAGAUCCUAUUGUACACCGGGACAUAAAAAGCAGCAAUAUUCUUCUGGACAUCGAUUAUAAAGCUUAUGUCUCGGACUUUGGCAUGGCGAAGAAGCUGAAGCACGGUUGCUCAAGCUGGAGCACUAUCUUUGCAGGGACAUGUGGCUACAUAGCCCCUGAGUUGUCAUCUACCAUGGUCUUGACUGAGAAGUGCGACGUGUACAGCUUCGGCGUGGUUGCCCUGGAAGUUGUGAUGGGAAGGCACCCAGGUGAUCUGCUCCUUCCAUUCUUUUGCCGAACAGAGCAGCCAGGGAAGUUCCAGGAUAUCCUGGAUCAACGCGUCACAGCACCGUCAACAACUGAUGAGAACGAUGUCAUUUUGGUUGCCUUGGUGGCUUUUGCUUGCCUGCAAAUCAAACCCAAAGCCCGGCCAACAAUGCAGCAGGUAUAUCAGGCACUAACAAAUAGAAACCACCGAGGGCUCAUGCUCAGACCCCUUCAUGAAAUCAGUCUUCAAGACUUGCAUGAUUAUUGUGGCACAGUAAAGAAUAUGUGA
rnacentral:rRNA from 1 species